CACGUAGGGUGCGAGCGUUGUCCGGAAUUAUUGGGCGUAAAGAGCCUCGUAGGCGGUGUGUCGCGUCGGCCGUGAAAACCUGUGGCUUAACUAUGGGCUUGCGGUCGAUACGGGCAUCACUGGAGUUCGGCAGGGGAGACUGGAAUUCCUGGUGUAGCGGUGAAAUGCGCAGAUAUCAGGAGGAACACCGGUGGCGAAGGCGGGUCUCUGGGCCGAUGACUGACGCUGAGGAGCGAAAGCGUGGGGAGCGAACAGG
rnacentral:rRNA from 1 species